ACUACCGCUCCUGCCAUACCCCACGUGUUUACAUUUUGCACGCGCCUUUAAAAGGCGCGUCCCGAAAAGUUGCCACUCGGGGUAGCGUGUGCUGUGCUGGAGUGCUAGGAGUUCCACUAACGGGAAUGUUUUUGAGCCCCCUGCUACCUGUCAGGCACUGUUCAAGGAAACUUGCCUGGCUUGUCUCACAGAUCUCGCUGCGACCUUUGUAAGUCAGGCUCUGUUGUUGGUCACAUUUUACUGAAGAGUAAAGUUAGACACAGGAGACAUGGCUAAAGCCACUCAGCCAGCAAAUCGUGGA
rnacentral:lncRNA from 1 species